CUACGGAGGGUGCGAGCGUUAAUCGGAAUUACUGGGCGUAAAGCGUACGUAGGCGGUUAUUUAAGUUAGAUGUGAAAGCCCCGGGCUUAACCUGGGAACUGCAUUUAAAACUGGGUAACUAGAGUUUGAUAGAGGAGAGUGGAAUUUCAGGUGUAGCGGUGAAAUGCGUAGAGAUCUGAAGGAACAUCAGUGGCGAAGGCGGCUCUCUGGAUUAAAACUGACGCUGAGGUACGAAAGCGUGGGUAGCAAACAGGAUUAGAUACCCUAGUAGUCC
rnacentral:rRNA from 1 species